AUAGCGUAUAUUAAAGUUGUUGCAGUUAAAAAGCUCGUAGUUGGAUUUCUGAUCGACCUCCAAAGUCCGCUGUUGCGUGUGCUGCGGAGAUCGGUCAUCCUUCUGUUAACGUUUCUGAUAUUCACUUAUCGGUCUCGGGCUCAGAUAUUUUACCUUGAGAAAAUUAGAGUGUUCCAGGCAGGCUUGCGCCGGAAUACAUUAGCAUGGAAUAAUAGAAUAGGACUUUAGUCUCCUUUGUUGGUUUGAGGGACUGAAGUAAUGAUUAAUAGGGAUAGUUGGGGGCAUUAGUAUUUAAUUGUCAGAGGUGAAAUUCUCGGAUUUGUUAAAGACUAACUUAUG
rnacentral:rRNA from 1 species